rnacentral:rRNA from 1 species
AGAACGAACGCUGGCGGCAUGCCUAACACAUGCAAGUCGAACGAGACCUUCGGGUCUAGUGGCGCACGGGUGCGUAACACGUGGGAAUCUGCCCUUGGGUUCGGAAUAACAGCGAGAAAUUGCUGCUAAUACCGGAUGAUGACGUAAGUCCAAAGAUUUAUCGCCCAAGGAUGAGCCCGCGUAGGAUUAGCUUGGUUGGUGAGGUAAGAGCUCACCAAGGCGACGAUCCUUAGCUGGUCUGAGAGGAUGAUCAGCCACACUGGGACUGAGACACGGCCCAGACUCCACGGGAGCAGC